GGGGUUGUAGCUCAGUGGUAGAGUGUCUGCCUAGCAUGUAUGAGGCACUGGGUUCAAUCCUCAGCACCA
rfam:Ictidomys tridecemlineatus contig043550, whole genome shotgun sequence.